rnacentral:rRNA from 1 species
UUUGUAUUGGAUGAUGGGGACCUAAACCCUUCCCAGAGUAUCAAUUGGAGGGCAAGUCUGGUGCCAGCAGCCGCGGUAAUUCCAGCUCCAAUAGCGUAUAUUAAAGUUGUUGCAGUUAAGAAGCUCGUAGUUGAAUUUCUGCCUNGCCUUUGGUUUCGCUUUUAUGCGUUUUCCGACUGGCUUGGCAUAUUUCUGGAUUUGUGUNGCUUCGGCUUCUCUUUUCCAGUUUUUACUUUGAGAAAACUAGAGUGUUUCAAACAGGCCUUUUGCCUUGAAUACUACAGCAUGGAAUAAUAAAGUAGGACUUUGGUUCUNUUUUGUUGGUUUUCGAACCAUAGUAAUGGUUAAUAGGAGCAGUUGGGGGCAUUCGUAUUUAACUGUCAGAGGUGAAAUUCU